UUCCAUCGGUAAGUGCUUCUUCCCUAUCUUCUAUUCCAUACUUCUCUAUCCAUUUACCAAAUGUCGAUCAUCAAUUUGGACUUUCAUUAUCUGCGCUGUAAUUUGUUUUUUGUUUUUUAAUGAUUUAGUUUCGGAAGGAGCCUUUUUUUUUGGAAUUCUGACUUAUUGAGUUAUGGCUAGGUUUACUGGGUGGGUUUCAUUUGUUGUUAUUUAGGUGACGAUUUCUAUAAAAGUUUGUUAUGGAGGUUUACAUAUUGUUAUAAUUAUCAAUUUUUGGUUGUACAUUUUGAAACUUAAAUUCCAGGACUUAUGCAGAGGGCAUAAGGUAUGUAGUGAAAAUGUUAUAUAUUUGCAUUUUUGCUUGAAUUUUUGUUGUCGGGUACAGAAUUGUUUAGAGAUUUUUUAUCCAGGAAUGAAGACCUUCCUGGAGAUUUAAACUCUGUAUGAAGGUUUUAUGAAUACUUAUUUUUGUACUUUUUUCAGGGUUAGAGGACAUUUUAAGGUGUAUAGGUGGACUGGUCGUUGAUGAGGAGUGACAGGGUGACCCUAUCAAUCCUUUCUUUGAGUUUCUUCUACCCCUCCAUACGCUCCUCCCAACUGGUUUUCUCCGACGUUUCCCCACCUGCCAGGUUUUAUUCUUAAAAUGUUUCAUGUUUGAUUUUGCUUCUUCUUUGCACAACCAACUUCAAGAUUACAGAAGGUUUAUAUAAUACGCUACAAAUGUUUUUGUAGGUAAUUUUUAAUCUUCUGUUUUUAAUUUAACCUAAUUACAAGAUGUGUGGAAUUCUAAUAUACUGCCUCUAUUUGAACUUUGAAAUCAACAAAAGGUGUUAUUUUUUUGUGUAGAACUUUCAUGUACAUGUCUUCGUUAUGAAGUAAUUGGGGUGUGUCGACAUCAAUUACAGGUAUCAUUCUUUUGUAUGUUUUUAUUUUCACAUAAUCUUCAUCUCAAUUGCACACCAAACAAGGUUUACGAAGAAACAUGGCCCUAAAACCUUAUAUUUCUCAAUCCAAUUCAUCUUUGUGAAAAUUCGAACAACAUUUUAAUUAACAGUUGGAAAGUAAUUAGAUAUUAUGUAGUCAAUUUUCCUAAUGUUGUCCAAGAUUAUGUUGGUCUUUUUCUGGGCACCAUUUACUCUGUUCCACCAUAUUGAAUGAAAAGAUUUCCUGUUGCAGCAUUUCUCAUCAUUGUUACAGUAUUUGACAUUGAUUGCGUUACUAAUUACCAUUACUAAACAUCUACCUGAUGUAGAGGAUCACCAAAAGUUUCAAAUUUCUACUUUUGCAACAUAACUUAGAGUAAGAAACACUGGUUUAUUAGAAUCCGAGCUUAUUAUGGUGAAUUACAUUGGUUCAAUAGUUGCAGCAUUCUAUUUGACUCAGGCUUUGUAAAAACAAGGGU